AAAGUAAAUGACGUAAUGUAACUUAUAAUAAGGUAAAGUAGACGGAGUAAAUGACGUAAUGUAACUUACAGUAAGGUAAAGCAAAUGAUGUAGCGUAACUUAUAGUAAGGUAAAGUAAAGUACGUUUUCACUUGUUGCAGUGCAAACACAAGCAUAAGCGCGAGCACAAGAAAAAGGAAAAAUUUUGAUCCUUGUGCUUGUGCUUAUGUCUUCGUCAAGGACGUUUUCACGGUAAAAUAAGAAUUAUUGUGUUUGCGCUUGUGCUCGCGUUUGUACUUACGUCGCUAGUGAAAACCACGCUUAACUAAUUCUUCGGUCAAAAUGACUGGACUGGCUGAAAUUUCUUUGCGUUAAUAAAGGCUUCGACUUCGUCUCGGUCGACAAACACGCAAAAAAGGGUUUGGGCAAUAUUUAUAUCCUGACCUCACGCUAGUGAGGUCAACAACCCACAUUUAUUAAAGACUUGUGUUGGAAUCAAUUUCAACUUAUGUUUAUGUGAUUUUCGUCAUGGCCUCUAGGCUACCAGUGGACAGAAAUUACCUCUGGGAUAUCUUCUCUAAAAUUGAUAAAGAUGGGAAUGGAUCCAUAUCAGCGGAUGAACUUCAACAAGCAUUGUCAAAUGGAGCCUGGACCCCGUUCAAUCCUGAGACAGUACGACUCAUGAUUGGUAGAUAUAAUUAUUUCAGUAAUUUUCCACUUUAGCUAGUAAUUAAGUUUCCU